rnacentral:rRNA from 1 species
AGUAGACGCGAAACCAAGUGAUCUACCCUUGGUCAGGUUGAAGGUUAGGUAACACUAACUGGAGGACCGAAUCGGUAAGCGUUGAAAAGCUUUCGAAUGAACUGAGGGUAGGGGUGAAAGGCUAAUCAAACUUGGAGAUAGCUCGUACUCCCCGAAAUGCAUUUAGGUGCAGCCUGUCGGAUGUUAUCAUGAGGUAGAGCGACUGAUUGGAUGCGAGGGUUUCACCGCCUAUCAAGUCCAGAUAAACUCCGAAUGCAUGAUAAUUGACCGAUGGAGUGAGGGCAUGGGUGCUAAGGUCCAUGUCCGAGAGGAGAAGAAUCCGGACCACCGGCUAAGGUCCCGAAAUAAUUGCUAAGUUGUAAAAACGAAGUCAAGAUGCAGAGACAGCUAGGAUGUUGGCUUGGAAGCAGCCAUUCAUUUAAAGAGUGCGUAACAGCUCACUAGUCGAGGAUUUUGGCAUGGAUAAUACACGGGCAUAAGCAAUUUACCGAAGCCGUGGGAUAUAGUAAAAUAUCGGUAGGGGAGCAUUCCAGCGACGUAGAAGGGAAAAGGGCGACUUUUUCUGGAGUUUCUGGAAAAGCAAAUGUAGGUAUAAGUAACGAUAAAGGGGGCGAGAACCCCCCUCGCCGAAAGACCAAGGAUUCCUGAUCAACGCUAAUCGGAUCAGGGUUAGUCGGGGCCUAAGGAUAAGCCGAAUGGCGAUUCCGAUGGACGAACCGGUUAAUAUUCCGGUACUGAUACAGAGAGCGAUGUGGUGACGGAGAAGUGACAGUCCGGCCGUCUGACGGAAUAGGCGGUUAAAGGGUGUAGAUGUUGAUCGGGGUAGGCAAAUCCGCCCUGAGAGUCGAACCUGACAGUACCCGGAGUACAAGUACGAAGGGAUAAGGACGUAACCCGGCUCCCAAGAAAACCCGCUAAGCAUAUUUCUGUGUUACCCGUACCGUAAACCGACACAGGUGGUUGGGUUGAGUAUACUAAGGCGCUCGAGAGAUUCGCGGUUAAGGAACUAGGCAAAAUGGUCCUGUAACUUCGGGAGAAAGGACGCCUGUCUCCGGACAGGCCGCAGAAACCAGGCCCAGGCGACUGUUUAACAAAAACACAAGGCUAUGCAAAAAAGCAAUUUGAGGUAUAUAGUCUGACACCUGCCCGGUGCUGGAAGGUUAAGAGGAGGAGUCAUCGUCAAGAGAAGCUCUGAAUUGAAGCCCCAGUAAACGGCGGCCGUAACUAUAACGGUCCUAAGGUAGCGAAAUUCCUUGUCGGGUAAGUUCCGACCUGCACGAAUGGUGUAACGAUCUGGGCACUGUCUCAACCGCGAUCUCGGUGAAAUUGUAGUAUCGGUGAAGAUGCCGAUU